rfam:Populus trichocarpa scaffold_13_contig_42, whole genome shotgun sequence.
UAAUUUAUUUGUGGAAAAUUCUCAUUUAGGUAUGAAAGAUUAUUAUCUAAUUGCUUAAAAUUCUCAGUUUCUACUAGUUUGAUUGGAUUAAUACGAGAAAGAAAAAAAAAUACUCAAAUUUAGAUAUGUUUUAAUUAAUUA